rnacentral:lncRNA from 10 species
UCCUUUCUCUGAUGCAUCCUCAGCCAGGGCUGCAUUUCUCUAGCUCACCUGAGAUACUCCUGCAAGAAAGAGCUUGGUUGACUCCUCCUGUUUCUGUUUAUCUCGAAGGCUCUGCAGCAAUUUUCCCAAACUGAACAGCAAGAGGGAGACCUCAAAGAGGCGACUCUCUUCCUAGCUGCAUCUCCUUCCUAAUCCUCUGGGUGCCUUGGAAUAGAAGCUCAGAAGGAAGAAAACGACAUUUUCAACUUUCAGGAACUAGCUCUGUCGCCCUCUGCACAGCUCGGGAGACAGCACUCUCAGCCUUUUAGGACUCCAUCCAAAAAUCCUUCAGCCCUCCAUGUUCCCCAAAAUGACAGUGCUCAUGUGUGGCUGGAACCUGCCCCGAUCCGGCAGCUCAUUUAAAUAGAGCUCAUCACAACAACAGUGUUGGUGGUGAAGUGAGUAGCUGCAGGACCCUGGGGACCCCCUGUUUAUACGUAGGAAGAAUGAUGCAAUCUGGGUAUCAAAAUAGCAAUCCAGAAUGGAAUAACAGGCUCACGCAGCAGCGGUGCCUGCACAGCCAGAGCUCAAGUUGACACACUCUGUCAGCCCCACACUGCUGCAGCACGCAGAUGCCAGGCACACACUCUCACCGCAUCAUUUUAAAAAACAGCAGGAGCCCAAGAUAUCCCUCCAUGCCCCCGGCACUGAAGGAGGGUGUGGGGGGGCCUUCAACAGACAUUGAAAUCUGUCUCCUACAUACUCACCUGCUCCUGCCACUUCACCUGAAGUCCUUAUCCUGUGACGUCACAGUCAGUUGCCAUAGUGACCAAUUGUCCGUCACAAGCAGAGGAUUAGGACUUCGGAUGGAGAAGACACACAUUUACGAUGCACAAAGGUCCUGGGAGGUCUCCCUUGGCAGUUAACUCUACCCACCAGGAAGAUCCAGUCACACACAAGCAGGGAGGGAAAAAGGGAAGAAUGAACAGGGUUGACUGGAGGAGACAUUAGGAUGGGGCAAGACUACAAGUACAGCAUAAUUUCAAAAGCACAGAGCAACCAGAUGAGGGGGAGUGGCAGGGAUGUGCUUGGAAAGACCGGAAGGAGAGUAAGCUCCUGAAGGGACCUGAAUGCUAAGCUCAGGAGCUUGACCUUCAUCCUAAAAUAAAAGGCAGCCCAAAAAGUUUCUGGAGAGUGACUGAGCUGGGCUUUAUGAUUAUCUUGAUGGACUGAACACAGGGAGGUCAGGGUAGUUGAGCAUUAAUGGGACCCUAAAUAAGGGUAAAAAUGGAAAAAAGCAAAAGAAGACUCAUUUCAAAGAGAACUGACAGGACACAAGCAAAUUAGGAUGUUGGGGCUAGUGGUGGUGUGUGAAGAACAAGGAAUCAAGUGGAGGGGCUGUCAUGAACAGAGAUUUUCCAUGGACUCUCCUCAUCAGUUUGGUAUUCUAAGUGAGCGUGGACUCUCCCCGUGAGCAAAGUGCCACAAUGUCGAUCGCAAGCUUUGAAGACAGGUGAACCUGAAUUUGACCUUACCGGGCAGUAGUUGUUAACCUUA